UUGUUUUGGAUAUCCGUGGUGUCUGGGCGGUUUUCAUGCACAUUGACUAAAUCCACGGGAUAUCUGUCAUCUCCCACCAGCAACAAAUAUCAGAUAUUAGGUAAUAUUGUCAACCAAGUCUAGGACAGAUGGGAAGAAUCUCCAAGUGUUUUUUUUGUCUCUACUGGGAUUUGAACUUGAGCCAUUAGGUUCUCAACCAACUUAAUUCUCCACUAGGUCCCAACCUUGGAUGCAACUGGGAAAUGGGAAUGGGUACUGGGUGCUGUUGAGUCCCACAUCUUGGUGUUAGAGUUAGGACCAUCUCAAUCAUUAUUAACCCGAUGUGGAGCGCCCAUCUUAUUAUGUCUAUGUAAGGGUUAAUGAUUUCAGAAUCGUAAACUUAAUGAUUUUAACACACAAUUCGAUUAUCAAUAAGUCAGUCAAGAAACAAAUCUGAAGCUGCCAUAGCUUUAUUUUUGACGUGAAUUAAGUGGAUGUACUUGAUUUGUAUCUUGAGAAAAACAAUUUCUCUCCCUUUUUCUUAGUGUGUUCUUUCAGAACAAAUAUGGAUGGAGUUCCCCUAUUCUUCUUAAAGGAAGAAAGAGAACCAACAGUUAAUUAACACAUCACUCCCACUCUCCAUCAAAUUGGGGUAGUGGGAAGCUGUUAGCACACCCUUUUAGUCUAUCAACAGUUUAUUUUUGGAAUAUUAAAUCAAAAGGUAGAUUAUUUUAGCAACUAUUAGUUAUGUUAUUUCUAUUUUUAUUAGGCAGUUAUUAGUAUGACUUAUCUAUUAAUUAUGUUGUUUUUAAUUCUCUGUAGAUAGCAAUAAGGAGGUUAUUCCUCCACUUUCUCAUUUCCUUCUUACUUGGGGUGGUGGUUCAUCCACCAAUUCUAUUUACAUUUAUUUAACUUUAAUGUAAAGGUAACCAGAUAAUAUUUUAGUUUUUGAGUACUUGAACACAAGAGAUUGCAGGUUCUCUCUUAGUGAACCAACGCCAUAGGUCCUAGAAAGAAAAUAUUAGAUUUCGUCUUCCAACGUCCCAUAACUAGAUCCUUAUAUGGAACCGUAACAAUUUGGUAUCAGAUUCGGGGGUUAUGGGAGAUAAAAUUCAACAUCAAUUGGCAUAAUUGGUAAACUUGUUCCAAGAAUAACGUGCUGCA
rnacentral:lncRNA from 1 species